AUUGAACGCUGGCGGCAGGCUUAACACAUGCAAGUCGAGCGGUAGCACAAGAGAGCUUGCUCUCUGGGUGACGAGCGGCGGACGGGUGAGUAAUGUCUGGGAAACUGCCUGAUGGAGGGGGAUAACUACUGGAAACGGUAGCUAAUACCGCAUAACGUCGCAAGACCAAAGAGGGGGACCUUCGGGCCUCUUGCCAUCAGAUGUGCCCAGAUGGGAUUAGCUAGUAGGUGGGGUAAUGGCUCACCUAGGCGACGAUCCCUAGCUGGUCUGAGAGGAUGACCAGCCACACUGGAACUGGGACACGGUCCAGACUCCUACGGGAGGCAGCAGUGGGGAAUAUUGCACAAUGGGCGCAAGCCUGAGGCAGCCAUGCCGCGUGUGUGAAGAAGGCCUUCGGGUUGUAAAGCACUUUCAGCGAGGAGGAAGGUGGUGAACUUAAUACGUUCAUCAAUUGACGUUACUCGCAGAAGAAGCACCGGCUAACUCCGUG
rnacentral:rRNA from 1 species